CUGUGGCCAUUGGUGAUGUUCAUGUUCAGAUUCAAUGGCUUUCCUGAGAACAAGCAGAAAUACUUUUUACCUUCAGCUGAAGGGCAGAAGCAUAACAAAAGUACGACGUAAUCAGCAGCAAGCGGACGUGGAGAAGUCGGGAGGGUUUCUCUGGCAGAAUGAGAGCAUCUGAGAGCUGAGCCUGCCUUCGCAGAGCCAUGUCCUGGUGAGUCAGAACAGCUUGAGUCCAAGCUCAGUGGCUUUUGGCCGUAAAUGGUGGUGACAAAGUAGAAGUCUCCCUCGUUUUAACAAACGCAUCAUCCAUCCCAGGAGGGGCGCUCGGAGCAGUUCGCGCCCAGUAACCACCCAGACUUGAAGGCUGGCAGCUCUCCAGCCCUCGCUGCCUUAGGAGGAGGUCAAACACCGUUCCUAGCUGACCUUUAACCCCGGGAGCUUGUUACAGCGGGUGACGCGCUCUGUGUCACCCCAGUAAGUGGCCGAGCGCCCCGGAGACAGCAGGGCUGGGCGCCCCAGGAGGCCGGCAGGAUGGGCGCUGUCCCCAAGGUUGCCUGGCCACUGACAAGUAUGUCCGAGUCUCUGAUUCUGCCCAAAUGAACAGGCCCUGAUGUUUCUAAGAAUAUGAUACAAUAAAUUUUUUUAU